CCAUGAAAAAUGGCCUAGCCUGGGAAAUUGAUAAUUUCUGUAUAUAAUAAUCUUCGGGAUAUAGGCUUUCUAGAAAUGUUUUUCUUUUUUUCAUAUAUUCUAUACUUUUUUGUUAAUAUGACGUUGAAUAUUGUGGUAUUUAAUGUUAAAAAAUUAACAUUUCGGGAUACACGUCACAACAAUAAACCUCCAAUGACCAUGUACAAUGUACAUGAACCUAUAAAUCUCUGAAUUUAUCAAGUUAUAUGCACUCAAAUAGCUAGAAUGGCUUAUUCAAUGAUCAUAAUAAGCAUUUUUGACCAAAUUUGGGAAAUAGAAAUAAGAAAUAUUUUGGAAAUGAUGUUCAAAGCCGUGAUUGUUCAACUUUACUUUUAAAUUAUUUUUACUUGAAUUUUAAAAUACUGAAAUAAGAAGAAUAAAUAUAGUAUGUAGUUUAUUUACAUGGUGAAAGAAGUGAAUCAUUGGAACAAUUCUGUUUCAUAUCAUAUUCCAUAGUUUUGGGGUUUUUUGUUUUCUUUCUUAUUUUUUUUUUUUUUUAGUAUUAAAACGACCGAGUAUCGAAAGCAAUGGUAACGAAAUAAGUUGACACCGCGUCUCGUCAAAACAUGUUCAAUUCGAAUUUACUCGGAAUUACACGUUCAACGAGCAUUUGCUGUGAAACCUGAUUAAAGGAAAAUUACUGUAGACACCUAAUAGUGAUUUGUACAGAAGCGAGCCCCGGCAGGAAUGAUGGCCUCUUUUGAAAUGAAGAUUUCAUGCCUUACUCCUACUGGGACUACAACUAACUUUGGACCUGGUCACUCGCAGAUACAGCAUGAAGUGUGCCCUCUUGAUGUACAUGGGGAUGGGAGUGAUACAGAAGGGGGACUAAUUGGAAGAACUGCUGCUGGUGGUGGUGCUGCUGGACUGUCUUGAAUCUGUUGCCUAACCGACUUGAUAUUCUUCUGUUUAAUAUGGGAGCAACACACACACUCUGGCAUAUAUUGCACAGAAAAUCAUGAUCAGAUGGUGCCCUCCCUAUCAGAGUGGUGAUCACUGACCUAUAUUUCUUUGAAAUCCUGGAUCUGUGUUUUGGUUUUACUCUCCAUGGACAGUUGAAACAGAGAAAGAAUUAGGGACCACUCCUUGGCAUAUCUGAAAUAUUUAUGUCAUAUACAUGUAAUUAAAAUAUACAAUUUGGGUUGGAUGAAAAUCUUAUCUUCAUGUUAAAACCCAUUAGCCUAGGUUAUUUUUCCUAAAAUCUAAUUAUAAAUCAAUUAACUUGUUAAUUAAUGCUUGGUGAAUCAAUUAAUAAAUUGUAUUCAAGAACUUGGAAUUAUUUUUUUUCCCACUAAUAAACUGAAAAUGUGUAUCUUCAAA